rnacentral:rRNA from 1 species
AAAUAGAACUUUGCAGAGAGAGUUAACAGGGCGUGAAACCGUUAAUUGGCAAACGAAUCGGAGCCACGAAGUCGUUUCGCUGAUAAGUCGAGUUCAGCUUUUAAGAAAUUAAGGGUGUAUUCUCGUGAGCUUAUCCAAUGUAAACGUACACUGCAACUAGUUAGACGAUUAAAGAUGGGCACAGUUGGGUUAGUAGUAACGUCGUAGUUCUUGUAGCUAUGUGCGUUGCUGGGCCUGUAACAAGUGAGCUAUCUUUGAAUACUGACUAGCAAAAUUAAAAUCGCUUUUCUUAGCGUAAUACAAAAAGCAGUUGUUUGUAUUAUUGUCUACAUGUUUAACCAUGAAGUUUUAAGCUCAGCAUUUUUGAAUUUGAACUUGCUCGCUACCAAUGGGGCAACUCUUGGUGCUUGUAUAGCUUCAUCUAAUCGGGUGUUGACUUGAUUUUGUGUUGUUUAAGCAUGCUACGAUAGGAUAGUAAUAUAAGAUGAUUUGCAAUUUGAAUUGGCAGUGAGUAGGUCGGCUUUCCGAACGACCCGUCUUGAAACACGGACCAAGGAGUCUAAUUAGGCAUCAAGUCGAUCGGUCUUGAAUAGGCCAGAGAGGGGUUUUCACUCCGAGAAGGCGUAGAGACAUGUGAUCAUGGUGGUAAAACAACCCCUUUGCGCAACAUGUGCCUGUUCGUAUACCAAUGUAGCAAUAUUGGUGGGCGGAGCAAAGAGAUGCCUGAUUGGUACCCGAAAGAUGGUGAUGCCUGGGCAAAUUGAAGCCAGAGGAAACUCUGGUGGAGGAUUUAGCUGACGUGCAAAUCGAUCGUCAGACCUGGGUAUAGGGGCGAAAGACUAAUCGAACCAUC